rnacentral:rRNA from 1 species
GACGAACGCUGGCGGCGUGCCUAAUACAUGCAAGUAGAACGCUGAAGGAGGAGCUUGCUUCUCUGGAUGAGUUGCGAACGGGUGAGUAACGCGUAGGUAACCUGCCUGGUAGCGGGGGAUAACUAUUGGAAACGAUAGCUAAUACCGCAUAAUAGUAGAUGUUGCAUGACAUUUGCUUAAAAGGUGCAAUUGCAUCACUACCAGAUGGACCUGCGUUGUAUUAGCUAGUUGGUGGGGUAACGGCUCACCAAGGCGACGAUACAUAGCCGACCUGAGGGGGUGAUCGGCCACACUGGGACUGAGACACGGCCCAGACUCCUACGGGAGGCAGCAGUAGGGAAUCUUCGGCAAUGGACGGAAGUCUGACCGAGCAACGCCGCGUGAGUGAAGAAGGUUUUCGGAUCGUAAAGCUCUGUUGUAAGAGAAGAACGAGUGUGAGAGUGGAAAGUUCACACUGUGACGGUAUCUUACCAGAAAGGGACGGCUAACUACGUG